AUGAUUGGCGAGAUGGGAGCUUCUUGUUGAGGUUGGUGAGGCGUCGGUCACUUGCAGGAGCACGGAAAGCCGCUGGAUCGGGCGGGCGUUGCAGCACGAGAGACGGUCCAAAACACGGCCGAACUGAUGUCGGUGUGCACGGUGACACGCUGCUGUCUACUUGGAUCCGGUGGUUCCUCGGUCAUGUGCUGAGGCUGUCCCCGCACCGACUCACGUCGUCUGCUGCAUCGAGUCAUCCUCGCCACGGCGUCCAUCACUUCGCCUGCUUGACUAGUUUUUCUUGGGAAGGAGAUCGGGAUGAGGAGAAGAAGGGCGUUGCUGCUUGAUGGCGAUGGCUGACCUGCUUGUCGCCAGUCGACGCUCGCCUGCAAUCAAAGGCAGCAGCGAGCCAGCAACAUCGCUCCAGAUUGUCGCCAUGUAUUACUGCAGUCACUGUAACCUUCGUUCUAGCCCACGUCAGUUUCCGAAGGCCGCCAAGGAAGCGGUCGAGGAGUUUGUUGAGGUCAUCGCCGUCGGCGGAGAGUGACGAUGCUUCGAGUGACGCGAGUAAAAUCUGAAGGUCUACACGCAUCUCAAAGCAACGCCCACUGGGUGACUAUAGCCUAAUCCAGCCCUCUCUGCUGUAACGGCCCGGCCCGAUCGGGACUGCCAAUCUCCCUUCGUGUCAUCCUCCUCGAUCUCCCCCCUUCGUUCCUCCCUCGGGGCUGACCGGAUCGGCGUUUACUCUUUGGGUUUCUUGAGCUCUCAUCUCGUAUCGCUGCCGACUUGGAUGCCGGGGAGAGCUGGUGGGCGGCGCGGAUUUGCGUGUUGCGGUCUCUGAUGAAGAUCGGAUUCCUUCCAUGGUUUUCUGUGAGGGAGUUCUGCUUGUAAGGAUGAUGCUCGAUCGCCACGGUUUGUCGUGCGAUUCUUGAUUCCUUUGAAGCAGAAAUGAGGAGAACGUCAGAAGAAACAAGAGGAUAAACAAAUUCUCGAGGAGCUUCUGGAUUCCAUUAAGGGGGAAAUAAAGGAGAGAAGGACAGCGUUCGUAUGAAAAGCAAAAGUCCUAUACAUGCCUCUUUGUCUUAAAUCCAAGACCAAGAUUUAUGCAACUCAAUGGAUACAAAUGUACAUUCCAUGUACUGAACGAAGGGCAUGAUUGGGGAGUAGCUCACAAUCGGAUAGCCUGAGGUUAGUCAUGGGUGAUGUCUUAUUGCCGCUGCUAAGCCAUCCUUUAAUGGCCUCACCUUCGUAAGUGAAACCAUCUGCUGCUAUUUGUGGAUCCCUCAUAAGCUCCUGCAGUUUCAUUUUCAACUAAUAAAUCAAAGUUGAAGUGGCAGCUACAAGAGAUGUUUCUGCAUCUUCUUUUAGUUUGAUCACAUUGCACAGAUGGGAAAAUAAUUGUUACAAGUACAGGACUUUGGUAGUAAUGCAUAUGAUUUGGAAUAGGAAGGAAAUGUGCAGGCAGCUAUGUAUUGUUCAAGCAGUAUCUAACACAAAACCAGAGUACCAGAGGAAGAGUCACAACAAUGAACAUGUGUGUGUUGAUGACAAGAAUGUAAGAAGAUGUGAUGUUAUCUGAUUAGGAUAAGAGGUGGGGUUGGUAAGAAGAGACAGGGAACAUUUAGGAUAUAUAUUUAUUUGGAGAAGGAUUGUUAGAACUUGAUGAUGCAUAAAUGAUCUACUAAUGCAAAGUGGACUGCCAAGUAACUGACCUUAAAUAUUGGACAGAUGAAGUAUGAUGGAAUGCACCUGCUGUACUCUGGAGCUAACACAAUCGAUGAAGGCGAUAACCUGGCAAAUGAGAUGGACUUCAUCAAGGGCUGAAGCAUUUUCCAUGCCUCUUUUGCAUCUGGCCGGUUCCUCCUGUUCAUGUCACAGCAUUUCAACCCCAGUUUUGCCAACUUCUCUGCCUGCACAUAUGGCCAGUCCCCUGCAGAAGCAUCAAGUACCCUCUCCAAGCAUUUCAUAUCCAAUGCCUCUUUUACUACUUUGCUUACGCCAAAUGCUGCCCUUCCCGUUAGAAGUUGCAGAAGUAUGACUCCGAAGGAGUACACAUCAGAUUUUGCUGUGAUUUCUCCGGAUGAGAGCAAUUCAGGGUCCAUGUAAGCAAAUGUUCCCUUGCGCAGAUGCAUGCAGUGGUAGAGGGUGCUGCUGCCAAUGGACCGGACAAGCAGUCGGUUCAUGCCCAAGUCACUAAUCUUGCUCACAAAGUUUGAAUCGAGAAGAAUGUUUACAGGCUUAAGAUCACCAUGGACCACACUAAGGGGUUUACGGGAGUGGAGGAAGACGAGAGCGGAGCAUAUUUCAGCUGCAAUGCGGAUGCGGACCUGCCAGGUGAGCUUGCGAGUAAGGUGGUCUUCCAAGCUUCCACUAGGAAGAUACUCGUAAACGAGAGCUCUGGCUUCUGGGCAUGCUCCUAUGAGAGUGACAAGGUCAGUACUUACCUCUCGCCGGAAUUCUGCUGUUCUUUGCAUGCCUUGUGGAUUCAACCUCUUUAUUGCCACUGUCGUAUGGCGAAGGGAGCCUUUAUAUACACAUCCGUAUCCACCUUCGCCGAUCUUUGAUGCCUCCUGGAAGUUUUCUGUUGCUUGUUCCAGCUCCGAAAGGGAGAACUCAGAGAAGUGUUCUGCUCCACGAGUGCUGGUUGUUGCUUCUUCUUUCUUCUGAUGCACUCGCUCCUGCUGCGACAGCUCAUGCUCUCCUCGGAUCGAAUUGAGGUGGCUGUAUGCCUCGGGCAAUUUGGCUUUGAUAUCCUUGAGAAUUUGGUCAGAAUCAGAUAUUUGGAGUUCCAGCGCUGCCAUCUUCUGACGUGCUUGCUGGAGUUCUUCAUUGACCUCAUCUCGCUGUUUUCUCAGUGCUGACAGUUGCAUCUCAUCUUUUGCUACCGCUUCUUCGAUUUCUUUCCUUUGUCUCACCUCUUUGUUGUAUGCAGUCUCGGCGACGUCGACCUGCGCAAUGGUGCCGUGUGAGAUCAGCAUGAAAGUUGUCGUUUGUUGACCUGCAAUGAGAUCUUACCUUCCUCGCAGCCUCGCUCAGGUCCUUCUCAGCUAUCUGACGCUUGUGGAGCUCUUCAUAAGCUUCACGUUUCGUGUUAUCCGCUUCCUUCAGCGCAGCUUCCAGCCGUUCGUACAUGGCACCAUCGACACCAAGAUCCUCCUGCAACACAGAUAUGACGAAUUGUGAGUGUGUAUGUGAGCGUAUGUGUGUGUGUGUGAGAGAGUGAGAGAGAGAGAGAGAGAGAGAGAGAGAGAGAGAGAGAGAGAUGUGUACCAGGUAACGUUGUGGAGAUUGGAACUGAGGGACUUCUCCAGGUGCAGGAAGUGUCCGUAGAACGAGCGAUCCAUCAUCUCUGUCCGCUUCCGGCGGCACUUCCGGCGACGAAGCCAUGUUUCCGUGGAGAGAGUGGUCCGAAGCCCUCGACGCAACAUCCCACGUAUCAUUAACGCUGCUCUCUCCGCUCCCUGAGGUCGAUGAUCCCGCCGGUCCUUCACCAGGCCAAGCCGCCAUGGCCACCUGUGAGUGUGGGGAGCAAUCGGCAGAUCUUGACGUGGGCUUGUGAGCUGCGACUACUUCAUCAACACAGGCAUCCCUGCAAACAAGAUCCAAAAUAAUUCAUCGUUUCAUGGACAACGUGUCUGUAGAACCACAACAACACACUGUAAUUUCUAUCUGAAAGUUCAAGCUGCGUGCCUGGUGCAGAUGAGGUUCCCUUUGCAGACAAACCAGAUCUUGCAUGAUGGAUCAGCCUGCUGCUGCACGGCCAGAGCUGUCUUCGACCUCGGACCCUUCAUUCGCCUGUGAUUCUAAAGCCUUGGCUUAGUCCACGAGUUCCACAAUUUGGCUGCACUCGCUUCUCUUAUCGAUUGUUUUGUUGUUUAGGAAGACAGAUCAAGUUUUGGACUUUGAAUGCAGCCUUUAAUAUAA